rnacentral:rRNA from 1 species
AUUGAACGCUGGCGGAAUGCUUUACACAUGCAAGUCGAACGGCAGCACGGACUUCGGUCUGGUGGCGAGUGGCGAACGGGUGAGUAAUGUAUCGGAACGUGCCCAGUCGUGGGGGAUAACGCAGUGAAAAUUACGCUAAUACCGCAUACGAUAUAUGGAUGAAAGCGGGGGAUCGCAAGACCUCGCGCGAUUGGAGCGGCCGAUAUCAGAUUAGGUAGUUGGUGGGGUAACGGCACACCAAGCCAAAGAUCUGUGGCUGGUAUGAGAGGACGACCAGCGACACUGGAACUGAGACACGGUCCAGACUCCUACGGGGGGCAGCAGUGGGGAAUUUUGGACAAUGGGCGAAAGCCUGAUCCAGCCAUUCCGCGUGCAGGAUGAAGGCCCUCGGGUUGUAAACUGCUUUUGUACAGAACGAAAAGGUUUCUACUAAUACUAGGAGCUCAUGACGGUACUGUAAGAAUAAGCACCGGCUAACUACGUGCCAGCAGCCGCCGUAA